rnacentral:rRNA from 1 species
AUUGAACGCUGGCGGCAGGCUUAACACAUGCAAGUCGAGCGGGGUGAUGGUGCUUGCACUAUCACUUAGCGGCGGACGGGUGAGUAAUGCUUAGGAAUCUGCCUAUUAGUGGGGGACAACAUCUCGAAAGGGAUGCUAAUACCGCAUACGUCCUACGGGAGAAAGCAGGGGAUCACUUGUGACCUUGCGCUAAUAGAUGAGCCUAAGUCGGAUUAGCUAGUUGGUGGGGUAAAGGCCUACCAAGGCGACGAUCUGUAGCGGGUCUGAGAGGAUGAUCCGCCACACUGGGGCUUAGACACGGCCCAGACUCCUACGGGAGGCAGCAGUGGGGAGUAUUGGACAAUGGGGGGAACCCUGAUCCAGCCAUGCCGCGUGUGUGAAGAAGGCCUUAUGGUUGUAAAGCACUUUAAGCGAGGAGGAGGCUCUUUUGGUUAAUACCCAAGAUGAGUGGACGUUACUCGCAGAAUAAGCACCGGCUAACUCUGUGCCAGCCGCCGCAGUAA